ACAGAUAUACGUUGAAAAAAGUGCGACAGGCGUGGGUUUUUAAAUUUUACAGAGAAAAAAAGAAAUUGAACCUCUGAUAUAAGUUUUUCAGUUACAGGAAUAAUGGUGAGGAACUAUGUUAGAAAGAGUAGCAGACAGUCGUGGGAUGAAGUGGCUAUGAGAGACGCACUGAAUUCAAUAAAAAAUGGGUUAGGCCUGAGAAAAGCCAGUUUGCAGUUUAAUGUCCCUAAAACCACCCUUCGUCGGCGAUACAAAGGUCUCAACAAAUGCGCAAAAGGAUCUACAAAAAUAUUGGGACAUUUCACAGUAAGUGAUGACAUACACUAUGGAGUUCAGGGGCGGAUCCAGGAUUUUCUAUAUGGGGGGGGGGGGGGGGGGGCGCAUAUGUGCCUUUUCUAUUUCUUUUUCAGCCAGUGGUAUCUACUUCCAGUUGUGCCCUACCCGUGGAAAUAGUACCUCAAGCAACACCCUCUACCUCGACAUCAGCCAUACCCCAGCUUAAUGCAGUGAAAGCAAUGUAUCGGCCAACAGCUCUUUCAAAUGAUUCAAUUUCAUACAUAUCACCUUUUGAAAUUUCUCCACCUCCAAAAGCAACCAGAACUAACCGAAAACCAAAUGUAAGACGGGGUACAACAGUCAUUCUCACAAUUAGCCCAUACAAAGCGACACUUAUUGAAUCAAAGAAGCUAACCUCUACGAAAACAACAAGCAACACCUUGACCUCGAAAAAAAACAAAUUUGAUGAAAAACACCACUAAGCGUUCUGUUAAAACCACUCCCAAAACAACAUUCGGCCUACCAAAAAAGUGCAAGACGUCUACUCCGGUAUAUAAUCAUUCAUCAGAUGAUGAGGCAAAUGAUGCAGAGUGCAUUUACUGCAAUGAAUGGUGGAGCAGAAGCAAACAGGAUGGUAUGAUACAGUGUGGAAAGUGCAUGAAGUGGUCUCACCCAGCGUGUGCUGGUAUUGAUGAAAAUGAUGACGACGUCAGUUUUACAUGUGACUUUUGCCUUUGAGAAGCUGUUUGUGUUAGACAACUGUGUUUGGAUUGUUCUCGUUUCUUAGUUUUGAACCUUAAAUACAGUUAUGAUGAUAUGUAGCCUAACGAUGUUUUUUUCUCUCAAGAAAUCAUCUAUGGGGGCAAUAUGGAACCUUGGUUGCCAUUUUACCCCAACUAUGGGGCAAAAUGGUUUCUCACUCGCGAAUUUUGUUUGUUAAAUAUUUGUUUUUGGUUUAGAUUUAGGCAUACAAUGCCUAUACCUACUUAAAUACUUGAACUGCAUAAACGUAUAUCACACUU